rnacentral:rRNA from 1 species
UCCAGACUCCUACGGGAGGCAGCAGUCGGGAAUAUUGCGCAAUGGAGGAAACUCUGACGCAGUGACGCCGCGUAUAGGAAGAAGGUUUUCGGAUUGUAAACUAUUGUCGUUAGGGAAGAGAAAGGACAGUACCUAAGGAGGAAGCUCCGGCUAACUACGUGCCAGCAGCCGCGGUAAUACGUAGGGAGCGAGCGUUAUCCGGAAUUAUUGGGUGUAAAGGGUGCGUAGACGGGAAAGCAAGUUAGUUGUGAAAUCCCUCGGCUUAACUGAGGAACUGCAACUAAAACUACUUUCCUUGAGUGCAGGAGAGGUAAGUGGAAUUCCUAGUGUAGCGGUGAAAUGCGUAGAUAUUAGGAGGAACACCAGUGGCGAAGGCGGCCUGCUGGGCUUUUACUGACGCUGAGGCUCGAAAGUGUGGGGAGCAAACAGGAUUAGAUACCCUGGUACU